rnacentral:rRNA from 1 species
CCUACGGGGGGCAGCAGUGAGGAAUAUUGGUCAAUGGGAGAGAUCCUGAACCAGCCAAGCCGCGUGAGGGAAGACGGCCCUAUGGGUUGUAAACCUCUUUUGUCGGAGAACAAAACCCGGGACGUGUCCCGGACUGCGUGUAUCCGAAGAAAAAGCAUCGGCUAACUCCGUGCCAGCAGCCGCGGUAAUACGGAGGUGGCAAGCGUUGUCCGGAUUUAUUGGGCGUAAAGCGAGUGCAGGCGGUUCAAUAAGUCUGAUGUGAAAGCCUUCGGCUCAACCGGAGAAUUGCAUCAGAAACUGUUGAA